rnacentral:tRNA from 1 species
GACUCUGUAGCUCAGCUGGUAGAGCAAAUGACUCUUAAUCAUUGGGUCGUGGGUUCGAUCCCCACCGGGGUCA